rnacentral:rRNA from 1 species
UGGGGAAUCUUGCACAAUGGGGGCAACCCUGAUGCAGCGACGCCGCGUGAGCGAUGAAGCCCUUCGGGGCGUAAAGCUCUUUCGACCGGAACGAUAAUGACGGUACCGGGAGAAGAAGCUGCGGCUAACUACGUGCCAGCAGCCGCGGUAAUACGUAGGCAGCAAGCGUUGUUCGGGGUUACUGGGCGUAAAGAGUGCGUAGGCGGUUUUCUAAGUUCGGUGUGAAAUCUCCCGGCUUAACUGGGAGGGUGCGCCGAAGACUGGGAAGCUGGAGUGUGGGAAAGGCAGGCGGAAUUCCUGGUGUAGCGGUGAAAUGCGUAGAUAUCAGGAGGAACACCGGCGGUGUAGACGGCUUGCUAGGCCAUAACUGACGCUGAGGCACGAAAGCGUGGGUAGCAAACA